rnacentral:misc_RNA from 1 species
GAUGAAGAACGCAGCGAAAUGCGAUAAGUAAUGUGAAUUGCAGAAUUCAGUAAAUCAUCGAGUCUUUGAACGCACAUUGCGCCCCCUGGUAUUCCGGGGGGCAUGCCUGUCCGAGCGUCAUUGCUGCCCUCAAGCACGGCUUGUGUGUUGGGCCGUCGUCCCCCUCCUAGGGGACGGGCCCGAAAGGCAGCGGCGGCACCGCGUCCGGUCCUCGAGCGUAUGGGGCUUCGUCACCCGCUCCGUAGGCCCGGCCGGCGCUUGCCGACGACCAUCAAUCUCUUUCUCCAGGUUGACCUCGGAUCAGGUAGGGAUACCCGCUGAACUUAAGCAUAUCAAUAAGCGGAGGA